CUUGAACGCUGGCGGCAGGCUUAACACAUGCAAGUCGAACGAGUGGCGGACGGGUGAGUCAUGCCUGGGAAUCUGGCUUAUGGAGGGGGAUAACUACGGGAAACUGUAGCUAAUACCGCAUACCAUCGGAUGAGCCCAAGUGGGAUUAGGUAGUUGGUGGGGUAAAGGCUCACCAAGCCGACGAACUCUAGCUGGUCUGAGAGGAUGACCAGCCACACUGGGACUGAGACACGGCCCAGACUCCUACGGGAGGCAGCAGUGGGGAAUAUUGCGCAAUGGGGGCAACCUGAUGCAGCCAUGCCGCGUGAAUGAAGAAGGCCUUCGGGUUGUAAAGUUCUUUCGGUAGCGAGGCGUUACCUACAGAAGAAGCACCGGCUAACUCCGUGCCAGCAGCCGCGGUAAUUC
rnacentral:rRNA from 1 species